ACGUAGGAGGCAAACGUUAUCCGGAUUUACUGGGCGUAAAGCGCGCGUAGGUGGUUCUGUAAGUAGGGCGUGAAAGCUCCUGGCUCAACUGGGAGAGGCCGUUCUAAACUGCAGAGCUAGAGGAUGGUAGAGGGAGGUGGAAUUCCGGGUGGAGCGGUGGAAUGCGCAUAUGUCCGGAGGAACACCAGUGGCUAAAGCGGCCUCCUGGACCAGUCCUGACACUCUGACGCGAAAGCUAGGGUAGCAAAAGG
rnacentral:rRNA from 1 species